UACAGAGGUCUCAAGCGUUGUUCGGAUUCAUUGGGCGUAAAGGGUGUGUAGGUGGCGCGCUAAGUCGGGUGUGAAAUUUCGGAGCUUAGCUCCGAAACUGCAUUCGAUACUGGCGUGCUUGAGGACUGGAGAGGAGACUGGAAUUCAUGGUGUAGCAGUGAAAUGCGUAGAGAUCAUGAGGAAGACCAGUGGCGAAGGCGGGUCUCUGGACAGUUCCUGACGCUGAGGCACGAAGGUCAGGGGAGCAAACGGG
rnacentral:rRNA from 1 species